rnacentral:rRNA from 2 species
GCUCAGGACGAACGCUGGCGGCGUGCCUAAUACAUGCAAGUCGAGCGGACAGAUGGGAGCUUGCUCCCUGAUGUUAGCGGCGGACGGGUGAGUAACACGUGGGUAACCUGCCUGUAAGACUGGGAUAACUCCGGGAAACCGGGGCUAAUACCGGAUGGUUGUCUGAACCGCAUGGUUCAGACAUAAAAGGUGGCUUCGGCUACCACUUACAGAUGGACCCGCGGCGCAUUAGCUAGUUGGUGAGGUAACGGCUCACCAAGGCGACGAUGCGUAGCCGACCUGAGAGGGUGAUCGGCCACACUGGGACUGAGACACGGCCCAGACUCCUACGGGAGGCAGCAGUAGGGAAUCUUCCGCAAUGGACGAAAGUCUGACGGAGCAACGCCGCGUGAGUGAUGAAGGUUUUCGGAUCGUAAAGCUCUGUUGUUAGGGAAGAACAAGUGCCGUCAAAUAGGGCGGCACCUUGACGGUACCUAACCAGAAAGCCACGGCUAACUACAUGCCAGCAG